rnacentral:lncRNA from 1 species
UGUGCAGCAGCAGAUCCUUGACCAUCUUGGCUAUGAACAAGGCCAACUGCCUUUCAAGUAACUGGGAGUACCACUGAGUACCAAGAAAAUUACUCUACUACAGUGGAAACCAAUAGUGGAAAAAAUCACAGCUAGGAUCACUUCUUGGACUGCCAGAACCAUGUACUAUUCUGGAAGACUUCAAUUGGUGCAAUAUGUCAUCUUUGGUUUCAAGCUUACUGGGCUCAGCUGUUUAUCUUUCCAGUGAAAGUUCUUAAAAUGAUUGAAAGUAUCUGCAGGAUCUUCAUUUGGUCUGGGAUGAAUACUGUCACCAAGAAAGCAUACAUCUCCUGGGAUAAAAUGUGCACCCCAAAGUCAGUAGGGGGAAUGAACCUAACCAACCUCAAACUGUGGAACAAGGCUUCCAUUGCAAAGACCUGCUGGGACAUAGCACAUAAGAAGGAUAAGAUGUGGAUCAGGUGGAUCACAGUGUAUUACAUUAAAGACGGGACAUUAGAAUCUAUGCCAAUCCCUGCCCAAGCCAACUGGAUGGUUAAGAAGAUCAUCCAAUCCAGGGAUACCCUACAAAGGAUGCAAAACUGGAGACAUCAGAAAUGCACUACAAAACAGUUGUACCAGUUGCAGUUGCAGGAAGUGCCAAUAGUCCCAUGAAAGAACCUAAUUUUACAGAACCAAGCCAGGCCAAAAGCAGUGUUCAACCUGUGGCUAGUCC